UCUGGGUCACCUCCCACCCGUGUCUAUCGUACCUUGUUGCUUCGGCGGGCCCGCCGUUUCGACGGCCGCCGGGGAGGCCUUGCGCCCCCGGGCCCGCGCCCGCCGAAGACCCCAACAUGAACGCUGUUCUGAAAGUAUGCAGUCUGAGUUGAUUAUCGUAAUCAGUUAAAACUUUCAACAACGGAUCUCUUGGUUCCGGCAUCGAUGAAGAACGCAGCGAAAUGCGAUAAGUAAUGUGAAUUGCAGAAUUCAGUGAAUCAUCGAGUCUUUGAACGCACAUUGCGCCCCCUGGUAUUCCGGGGGGCAUGCCUGUCCGAGCGUCAUUGCUGCCCUCAAGCACGGCUUGUGUGUUGGGCCCCCGUCCCCCUCUCCCGGGGGACGGGCCCGAAAGGCAGCGGCGGCACCGCGUCCGGUCCUCGAGCGUAUGGGGCUUUGUCACCUGCUCUGUAGGCCCGGCCGGCGCCAGCCGACACCCAACUUUAUUUUUCUAAGGUUGACCUCGGAUCAGGUAGGGAUACCCGCUGAACUUAAGCAUAUCU
rnacentral:rRNA from 1 species